GCUAGCUUAAGAGGAAGAUUGUCAAAGUUGUUAAAUUUAGCACUCUUUACCUUAUCCCCGAUUUUGUAGGACUCCUACAUGCAAAUUUCCUUAGUUUGAUAAUCUUAGGCUUUGUUAUGUGGGCAAGGCAAUAUAGAUGCGUGGUCGCCUCAAAGUUAGGUCUCCACCAAACGUCCUCACAUUCACCAAUCUAUGAGAAGAUGCCAAGUGGUAAAAUACAUAUCAGAAAAAUGCUAAUAUUCAAAAUUCUUAUUAACCUAGUUAGUUCAUAAAAAUCAGAGGGAGCAUGGAUUCCAACAAUAAGCAUAUGUUUUAUAUCUUUUUUUUUUUUUUU
rnacentral:misc_RNA from 1 species